UACGUAGGGUGCGAGCGUUGUCCGGAUUUAUUGGGCGUAAAGGGCUCGUAGGCGGCCUGUCGCGUCGGGGGUGAAAGCCCACUGCUUAACGGUGGGUCUGCUUCCGGUACGGGCGGGCUGGAGUAUGGCAGGGGAGACUGGAAUUCCUGGUGUAGCGGAGGAAUGCGCAGAUAUCAGGAGGAACACCGGUGGCGAAGGCGGGUCUCUGGGCCAUUACUGACGCUGAGGAGCGAAAGCGUGGGGAGCGAACAGG
rnacentral:rRNA from 1 species